rnacentral:rRNA from 1 species
CGAACGGGUAGUAACACGUGAGCAACCUGCCUUUCAGUGGGGGACAACAUUUGGAAACGAAUGCUAAUACCGCAUAAGACCACAGUGUCGCAUGGCACAGGGGUCAAAGGAUUUAUCCGCUGAAAGAUGGGCUCGCGUCCGAUUAGCUAGAUGGUGAGGUAACGGCCCACCAGGCGACGAUCGGUAGCCGGACUGAGAGGUUGAACGGCCACAUUGGGACUGAGACACGGCCCAGACUCCUACGGGAGGCAGCAGUGGGGAAUAUUGCACAAUGGGGGAAACCCUGAUGCAGCGACGCCGCGUGGAGGAAGAAGGUCUUCGGAUUGUAAACUCCUGUCCCAGGGGACGAUAAUGACGGUACCCUGGGAGGAAGCACCGGCUAACUACGUGCCAGCAGCCGCGGUAAAACGUAGGGUGCAAGCGUUGUCCGGAAUUACUGGGUGUAAAGGGAGCGCAGGCGGAUUGACAAGUUGGGAGUGAAAUCUAUGGGCUCAACCCAUAAAUUGCUUUCAAAACUGUCAGUCUUGAGUGGUGUAGAGGUAGGCGGAAUUCCCG